rnacentral:lncRNA from 1 species
ACAGUUGGUAUCAGAGCAACGCUAUGAAAGGGUUCGUGGGUUAGCUGGGCACAUUCACAACAUGGCUAGCGGCGGAGGAGCAAGUUCGCAAGGGUCGCGAGGAGGAGCGCACCGUCCCACCACCACACAAGGGAGGUAAAUCUCGUGACUAUCUUGCUAGUUUUGAAGCUCGGUUAGCUAUACUUGAGAUAGCUAUGGCGGAUACAAAAGA